UACGAAGGGGGCUAGCGUUGCUCGGAAUCACUGGGCGUAAAGCGCACGUAGGCGGAUUUCUAAGUCAGGGGUGAAAUCCUGGAGCUCAACUCCAGAACUGCCUUUGAUACUGGGAAUCUCGAGUCCGGGAGAGGUGAGUGGAACUGCGAGUGUAGAGGUGAAAUUCGUAGAUAUUCGCAAGAACACCAGUGGCGAAGGCGGCUUACUGGUCCGGUUCUGACGCUGAGGCGCGAAAGCGUGGGGAGCAAACAGG
rnacentral:rRNA from 1 species